CUGAAAGGAAUUUUUCGUAAUCGAAGGUCGUUUAUUGACAGCGAGAAUCUGAGAAAUUGUUGAACAAGAACAUCAUGGCUGCCUUAUUCAAAGUCGCUCGGCACGAUAAGCCAACUGAAAGAAAAGCCGUCAAAGCUGCGUCAAUAAAAGAACUUAUUUCCGGAGCGAAAAUCAAGUUAAAACUCACCGACGAAAACUAUAAGUUGUAUACUGAUGAUUUCACGGAAAUUGACGAAGACGAGAUUUUAAUGGACUUAGCUAAAGCCAAAGGUAGUG